rnacentral:lncRNA from 1 species
CAGGGGGCAUGAUGGAGAUAAGGCCGAACAAACGGCCAUUACAUGAGUACCAAGAUAGGCACGAGAGGCCACAAUAUCAACCUAAGAGAAGAAAUUAGCAGAUGCCACUGAGAUAUGAAGAUGUUGAUCUACAGAACCCAAGCCGAAACAAAAAUAGAAGCAUGUGGGUUUCAGUAGGAAAAGGAAAGAGUCGAGAUGUGGCCUAUGUAUCAAGACCUC